rnacentral:rRNA from 1 species
AUUGAACGCUGGCGGCAUGCCUUACACAUGCAAGUCGAACGGUAACAGGUCUUCGGAUGCUGACGAGUGGCGAACGGGUGAGUAAUACAUCGGAACGUGCCCAGACGUGGGGGAUAACGAGGCGAAAGCUUUGCUAAUACCGCAUACGAUCUAAGGAUGAAAGCAGGGGACCGCAAGGCCUUGCGCGUUUGGAGCGGCCGAUGGCAGAUUAGGUAGUUGGUGGGAUAAAAGCUUACCAAGCCGACGAUCUGUAGCUGGUCUGAGAGGACGACCAGCCACACUGGGACUGAGACACGGCCCAGACUCCUACGGGAGGCAGCAGUGGGGAAUUUUGGACAAUGGGCGAAAGCCUGAUCCAGCAAUGCCGCGUGCAGGAUGAAGGCCUUCGGGUUGUAAACUGCUUUUGUACGGAACGAAAAGGCUCUGGCUAAUACCUGGGGCACAUGACAGUACCGUAAGAAUAAGCACCGGCUAACUACGUG